rnacentral:rRNA from 1 species
AGUGAACGCUGGCGGUAGGCCUAACACAUGCAAGUCGAACGGUAGCACAGAGGAGCUUGCUCCUUGGGUGGCGAGUGGCGGACGGGUGAGGAAUACAUCGGAAUCUACUCUGUCGUGGGGGAUAACGUAGGGAAACUUACGCUAAUACCGCAUACGACCUACGGGUGAAAGCAGGGGACCUUCGGGCCUUGCGCGAUUGAAUGAGCCGAUGUCGGAUUAGCUAGUUGGCGGGGUAAAGGCCCACCAAGGCGACGAUCCGUAGCUGGUCUGAGAGGAUGAUCAGCCCCACUGGAACUGAGAAACGGUCCAGACUCCUACGGGAGGCAGCAGUGGGGAAUAUUGGACAAUGGGCGCAAGCCUGAUCCAGCCAUACCGCGUGGGUGAAGAAGGCCUUCGGGUUGUAAAGCCCUUUUGUUGGGAAAGAAAUCCAGCUGGCUAAUACCCGGUUGGGAUGACGGUACCCAAAGAAUAAGCACCGGCUAACUUCGUGCCAGCAGCCGCCGCCG